UACGGGGGGAGCAAGCGUUGUUCGGAUUUACUGGGCGUAAAGGGCGCGUAGGCGGCCACCGCAAGUCAGUUGUGAAAUCUCUGGGCUUAACCCAGAACGGUCAGCUGAUACUGCGGGGCUAGAGUGCAGAAGGGGCAACUGGAAUUCUCGGUGUAGCGGUGAAAUGCGUAGAUAUCGAGAGGAACACCAGUGGCGAAGGCGGCUCUCUGGACUGUAACUGACGCUGAGGCGCGAAAGCGUGGGGAGCAAACAGG
rnacentral:rRNA from 1 species